GACGAACGCUGGCGGCGUGCUUAACACAUGCAAGUCGAACGGAAAGGCCCUGCUUUUGUGGGGUGCUCGAGUGGCGAACGGGUGAGUAACACGUGAGUAACCUGCCCUUGACAUUGGGAUAACUUCAGGAAACUGGGGCUAAUACCGGAUAGGAGCUCCUGCUGCAUGGUGGGGGUUGGAAAGUUUCGGCGGUUGGGGAUGGACUCGCGGCUUAUCAGCUUGUUGGUGGGGUAGUGGCUUACCAAGGCUUUGACGGGUAGCCGGCCUGAGAGGGUGACCGGCCACAUUGGGACGGAGAUACGGCCCAGACUCCUACGGGAGGCAGCAGUGGGGAAUAUUGCACAAUGGGCGGAAGCCUGAUGCAGCAACGCCGCGUGCGGUAUGACGGCCUUCGGGUUGUAAACCGCUUUCGCCGGUGACGAAGCGUGAGUGACGGUAAUGGGUAAAUAAGCACCGGCUAACUACGUG
rnacentral:rRNA from 1 species